GCUCAGGGCGGCUCCUGCGCAGGGACAGCAGGAGCAAGGAGGUGCCUCCAGAGCUGUCACCUUCUUACCUUGUUCUUGGCUUCCUCUUCCAGCCGCCUCUUCUUGUCCAGGGUUUUGGUGGUGAUGCUGCUGGUCGUGUUCUGCUGCUCCUCCUCCGCUUUCACCGCCACGUACUUGGCCUUGUCGUGCUCCUCGCUGCGCUGCAUGUAUGUCUGCUUGGCCUUGCGCAGGUUCCCCUCGGCCUCUUGCUGCCAGGGUGAGCCAUGACCCGGGUGAGGACAGAACCCAGCCAGGGAGUCACCAGCUCCCGUGGGCUCCCCGGGGUCCCCCAGCACAGCAGAGGCACCCAAGCACCCGACACUGCCAGAGAGGGGCAGGGGUCCAGCAUCCUUAGAGGGGCACGUGUCACGGGGUGCUCCAGGCUGCGACUGGGAUGCAAACCCAGUCACUCACCAGUUUCCUCUGUGCCCGGUGCCACUGCUCCUUGAUCUCCUUCCUCCGCUUCUCGUGCUCGAGGCGUCUCACCAUCAGCGGCUGGAUUGGGAGGAACAGCCCCGUGAUGCCCUGAGCUGAGUGCUCUGCUCUGCCCUUGCCAAGGCUUUGCAAGGAGAAGUGCCCUGUGCUGGUCACUAUUGCUGCCAGCACGGCCAGGUCACAGGCACUGGUUUGUGCCAGGGAGGAAAAUCUGCAGCCUGGGAAGUGCCAGAUGCAGGUUCCCUCUGGACUGAGCUAAGGAAGAGCCACCUCUGCAAUGCCAGGACCACCAGCCCUGGGAGGACCCUUUGACCCCUCACCUGGAGGAAGGUUUGGUGCUGCAGGGUGUUGGCUGCCUGCAGAACUGAUGUCCCAUGCUCCAUGUCCUGCUCCAGGGCCAGCAGCUGUUUGCCAUUUUCUGGAGCCCUUUAGCAAACUCCAUCUCUGGAAGAAAAAGUUUGGAAGUGAAAAGGCACACAAGACACUGGGAUUUCCCUGGUGGAACCCAAUCUUCUUUUGAAAGAUAAAUCAGGAACUUGAAGAGUGAAGUUCCCACUUCCCUGGCAGGGUUGGUCUCCCCACAGACUCUUGUAUGAGAUCAGGUCCUUCAUGUACUUGGAGAUGGUUUUGGCGUACUGGAGUGCAGCAUCCACCCCCCCCUCGCAGCGCUGCAGCAUCACAUCCACUUCCUCGGCCGCGGGACGGGCUGCAGUGGGACACCCCGUGAGCUUCCAGUGCAAACCUCCCCACCUCCGAGCCGGCUCCGUGCUGUGCCAGUCCUGCCGACCCCGGUGCCACAGCUCUGCUGCCUUUUCCCAGCCGAGGAGCCAAGUGUGGCUCAGGAUCACAGCGAUGACAGGGAAGGCACCGGUUCCUGCUCAGCCAGGCACCCCCACCCCAAACCCUGCACCCACCCUCGUCCUGCUCACCCGCGUUGUAGCUCUCCACGCCCACAGGCACACCGUCUCCUCCAGGCCCAGGGAUCCCCCCGUAGAGGCUCUCCAUACUCUUUGAGGAUUUGGAAAGAAAAGGGGCUGGUCAGCCAAGCAGACGGAGGGAGGCUGGAACCUGGAGCUGCCGGAGCCUUUCAGCUGUUGCUGGAAGUUGGCCGUGCCCAGGCUGUGCCCAGGCUGUGCCUGGGAGCUCACGGGAAUGUCUCUGGAGAAACACCCUGCCCUGGGCUCCCAUCAGAGCUGAGGGGAGCAGCCAGAGCCCCACGGCUCACCUGGUUCUGGUCGCUGGGUGGGAUGGAGAGGAGGGUGCUGCUGUCCACCUCCCCCAUGAGGAACUCGGACACCCUGUGGGGAGAGGAGCACAGCACAGGGACAGUGGCAUGGGCUGUCACCCAGCAGUACCCACGGACCGGCUGUGGAGGCAGCUGCCCAAAAUCCCUUACGUGCUGCUGAAGGACACAGCAAUGGUCUCCACGGCCUUCUCGAACUCCCGCUUGUCCGCCUCAUUGUUGGAUUCAUAGUGGAACCCUGGAGAAGAGGAAAUGCGGGAGCCCUGUCACUGUGUACCUGUCCCUCUCCCAGCAGGAGAAGGAUCUGCUGGCUCACGGUGGUAUCAGGGGAGCUGUGGGG